rnacentral:rRNA from 1 species
GACAGAGGCCCCAAGCGUUAGGCGGAAUCACUGGGCUUAAAGCGUGUGUAGGCGGAUCGUUAAGUGUCUUGUGAAUACCUCACGGCUCACCCGUGGAAUGCUGGGCAUACUGGCGAUCUUGGGCCAACUAGGGGCAGUCGGAACAAGCGGUGGAGCGGUGAAAUGCGUAGAUAUCGCUUGGAACGCCGAAGGUGAAAACAGACUGCUGGGGUUGCGCCGACGCUGAGACACGAAAGCCAGGGGAGCAAACGGG